GUCACAUGCAGGCUUCGGGUGAAGGUGAAUAAACCUUUAAAGACAGUAAUUUCAUUGUUUGCCGUAAAUUUGUUCCAUCCCUUGCUCUUAAUUUUUUUUCUUUUAAAUAACAAUUCCAACAUAAUCAACUUAGUUUAGUUAUUCGAACUGAGAUCCUUUUUUUCUUUUUUGCUGAUGAACAGUUUAGCAUCCGGAUUUGGGUUU
rnacentral:misc_RNA from 1 species